rnacentral:snoRNA from 24 species
AACUAUUACAGUCGAUGAGGAUAGGUUAUAGUUAUGUUUAACAUCUGUGUUCGAGAGAACUCUAGUUAUCCAUUCUGUUCAAAUCUAAGUUCUUAACUUUGAAUUGAAACAAUUGGGUCGAUGUGGAUUGUGCCGUGGCUGUUUCACCACCUUAAUAGCGGUGCUUUUAACUAGUAUAAACUGAGGCUG